GUCAGGAUGGCCGAGCGGUCUAAGGCGCCAGACUCAAGGUUCUCACCUUCUCAGUUCAAAACUGAGUUCUGGGCGUUCUGGUCCUCUCUGAGGGCGUGGGUUCGAAUCCCACUUCUGACA
rnacentral:tRNA from 1 species